UACAGAGGGGGCAAGCGUUAUUCGGAAUUAUUGGGCGUAAAGGGCGCGUAGGCGGCCAUUCAAGUGACGGGUGAAAGCCCUCGGCUUAACCGAGGAACUGCCUGUCAGACUGGAUGGCUUGAGACCGGGAGAGGUGAGUGGAAUUCCCAGUGUAGCGGUGAAAUGCGUAGAUAUUGGGAGGAACACCAGUGGCGAAGGCGGCUCACUGGACCGGAACUGACGCUGAUACACGAAAGCGUGGGUAGCAAACAGG
rnacentral:rRNA from 1 species